GAUGAACGCUGGCGGCGUGCCUAAUACAUGCAAGUCGAGCGAACGGACGAGAAGCUUGCUUCUCUGAUGUUAGCGGCGGACGGGUGAGUAACACGUGGAUAACCUACCUAUAAGACUGGGAUAACUUCGGGAAACCGUAGCUAAUACCGGAUAAUAUUUUGAACCGCAUGGUUCAAAAGUGAAAGACGGUCUUGCUGUCACUUAUAGAUGGAUCCGCGCUGCAUUAGCUAGUUGGUAAGGUAACGGCUUACCAAGGCAACGAUGCAUAGCCGACCUGAGAGGGUGAUCGGCCACACUGGAACUGGGACACGGUCCAGACUCCUAAGGGAGGCAGCAGUAGGGAAUCUUCCGCAACGGGGGAAAGCCUGACGGAGCAACGCCGCGUGAGUGAUGAAGGUCUUCGGAUCGUAAAACUCUGUUAUUAGGGAAGAACAUAUGUGUAAGUAACUGUGCACAUCUUGACGGUACCUAAUCAGAAAGCCACGGCUAACUACGUG
rnacentral:rRNA from 1 species